GAAGUUAUAGGUUAAAUGUAAGAAACCCUGGGCCUUCAAAGCCUAUAAUGAGUCUUCUAACUUCG
rnacentral:tRNA from 1 species